GACGAACGCUGGCGGCGUGCCUAAUACAUGCCAGUAGAACGCACAGUUUAUACCGUAGCUUGCUACACCAUAGACUGUGAGUUGCGAACGGGUGAGUAACGCGUAGGUAACCUGCCUGGUAGCGGGGGAUAACUAUUGGAAACGAUAGCUAAUACCGCAUAAUAUUGAUUAUUGCAUGAUAAUUGAUUGAAAGAUGCUAUUGCAUCACUACCAGAUGGACCUGCGUUGUAUUAGCUAGUAGGUGAGGUAACGGCUCACCUAGGCGACGAUACAUAGCCGACCUGAGAGGGUGAUCGGCCACACUGGGACUGAGACACGGCCCAGACUCCUACGGGAGGCAGCAGUAGGGAAUCUUCGGCAAUGGACGAAAGUCUGACCGAGCAACGCCGCGUGAGUGAAGAAGGUUUUCGGAUCGUAAAGCUCUGUUGUAAGAGAAGAACGGGUGUGAGAGUGGAAAGUUCACACUGUGACGGUAUCUUACCAGAAAGGGACGGCUAACUACGUG
rnacentral:rRNA from 1 species